AUUUGAUGUUGGUCGUUGCUGUUGAAUAUUAAAAAAUCCUCACCCUUUCAAACUACGAGCUCUUUUCUUGAAACAGUAUGUUUUGCUUUUAUAGGACAUGCCGCUUAUGUUGAAGAUUUUGGCCAAAAUGAAAUACCAGAAGCAUUAUUCACUAGUAUCCACCACAUGUGCUAUAGAAGUUCUCCUAUGACUAUCUGUUCAUUUCAUUAUGUUGCUUGUUCUGGUAUAACAAGAUCGACUAUUGAGCUGGCACUGUAGCAAAUAUUCAAAAGGAAAAAAUGGGUCAAAUUGUGCUUUAAGAGACACAUUGGGUAUUGCAUCAAUAAUACAUGGUUGUAAUAGUUCCCUCUGGUUUACUAGAUAGUGAUAGCGCGUGGGUGAAUGUUUUUGUGUCUCUGGUGCAAAUAUUGUACUAUCCUAUUAUUCAUAUGAUGUAUCGAACAACCUAUUGGUUGUAAUAGUCUAUUUUCGUAUAUCUAUAGAUAGAAUACUAUC